rnacentral:rRNA from 1 species
CAGCAGCCGCGGUAAUACGUAGGGUGCAAGCGUUAAUCGGAAUUACUGGGCGUAAAGCGUGCGCAGGCGGUUUGUUAAGACAGAUGUGAAAUCCCCGGGCUCAACCUGGGAACUGCAUCUGUGACUGCAUAGCUAGAGUACGGUAGAGGGGGAUGGAAUUCCGCGUGUAGCAGUGAAAUGCGUAGAUAUGCGGAGGAACACCGAUGGCGAAGGCAAUCCCCUGGACCUGUACUGACGCUCAUGCACGAAAGCGUGGGGAGCAAACAGGAUUAGAUACCCCUGUAGUCCCUGUCUCUUAUAC